GGUGGGCUGAGAUGUACGUGCACUAGCUGGGUAUAAAUCCCGUAGCCAUGAAUGGUUGUAACUGUGGGCGCUAGCAGUUUGAGCUGCAGGGAAUACAAGCGGCCGGUGGCGUACGUGCGCCGGGCAAGAAUCCACUUGCGUUCUCCUCGUUCUUCUUCCUUCUUUCUUCUACGUCUGUGCGAGAGAGAGAGCUCAGGUGAGGAGAAGAGCUAGGGCUAGACACUAACACCUAGGACGCUUAACGCCUCCAAGACGAUUAAAUGCAUUGCCGGACCUGCGUGAAGUGUAUUUCUCCAACAACAUACUAACUGUCGGCUUUAUUUUUGGAGCUUGCUUCCUUCCUCCAUUGACUUUCUACACUCCCACCUUUGGAUUUCUUGGUUUGCUCAUUCUCGGCGCAACAUUAUUGUCAAUGAUAACAUUUUUCCUUCAGUGGAUUCGGUCUGAUCCAACCGAAUAAGCACCUUCUUGU
rnacentral:lncRNA from 1 species